CCAUUUCUUGAAAUAGUUAAGCAGUACCGGGUGGCGAUUGAUGGCCCAUACCAGGACUAUGUCCAGAACCACUCGUUGGUCUGUAUGCAUCUGUCUCCGUUUCCGUUUUCUUAUACCGGUUAAAUCGAGAACCACCCGCAGCCGGUGGUUUUGACCGGCUAAAAGUGUGAAGCGAUGGCAGUACUCGACCGACUUUCAGGGGCCGGGAUGCUGCUAUCGAGCCAAAAUGCUGCUGCAGAAGCAAGAUAAGCAUAUAAAGAGCCAGAACAUAAUAAUUUCUUUGAUGUGUGGCCAUGGAAAUUAAGACUAGGAGUUUUCUUAAUU
rnacentral:lncRNA from 1 species